rnacentral:rRNA from 1 species
GGGGAAUCUUGCGCAAUGGCCGAAAGCCUGACCCAGCAACGCCGCGUGGGCGAUGAAGGCCUUAGGGUCGUAAAGCCCUUUUGCGGGGGACGAUGAUGACGGUACCCCGCGAAUAAGCCACGGCUAACUACGUGCCAGCAGCCGCGGUAAUACGUAGGUGGCAAGCGUUGUCCGGAUUUACUGGGCGUAAAGGGCGCGCAGGCGGUCUGUUUAGUCUAGGGUGAAAGCUCCCGGCUCAACUGGGAGAGGUCCUUGGAUACUGGCAGACUCGAGGGAGGCAGAGGAAAGUGGAAUUCCCGGUGUAGUGGUGAUAUACGUAGACAUCGGGAGGAACACCAGUGGCGAAGGCGGCUUUCUGGGCCUUACCUGACGCUGAGGCGCGAAAGCGUGGGGAGCGA